AUUCAAUGAUCACCAGAAUUAAAUGGCAGUAGGGGAAGUGAUUGCAGCAAAUUUGAAGAAGACUCUGAAGUCCAAAAAGGUAACUGUUGGUAAUCCUGAUUCCCUGGGAUCAUUAGUCUGCCAAAAUCCUGCUUAAAUCAAAUUCGACUAUGAUGGUGCAUUCGAUGAGAAAUCUGGGAAGGCUGCCAUUGGUGUUAUAGCUCAUAACAGUCAAGGCCAAAGAGUGGUCAGAGAGGGUAAAGCGGUAAAAGUUAAGGAUACUUUGACAGCAGAAGCUCUGGCUCUGAAGGUGCCUUCUCGGCUAGCAGGGAAUGCUUUAGAAGGGUUGCGGUU
rnacentral:lncRNA from 1 species